rnacentral:tRNA from 1 species
UUACAAAACAAUAGUUUAAUUUUAUAAUGAAAAUAUAAUGUUUUCUUUUAAACUAAAUAAAU